AUUGAACGCUGGCGGCAGGCCUAACACAUGCAAGUCGAGCGAGAGGCGGACGGGUGAGUAAUGUAUGGGGACUGCCCGAUAGAGGGGGAUAACUCCUGGAGACGGUAGCGCAUAACGCAUACUAUCGGAAAACCCAUAUGGGAUUAGCUCGUAGGUGAGGGAAUGGCUCACCUGGGCGACGAUCCCUAGCUGGUCUGAGAGGAUGAUCAGCCACACUGGGACUGAGACACGGCCCAGACUCCUACGGAGGCAGCAGUGGGGAAUAUUGCACAAGGGGCGCAAGCCUGAUGCAGCCAGGCCGCGUGUAUGAAGAAGGCCCUAGGGUUGUAAAGUACUUUCAGUCGGGAGGCGUUACCUACAGAAGAAGCACCGGCUAACUCCGUGCCAGCAGCCGCGGUAAUAC
rnacentral:rRNA from 1 species